rnacentral:lncRNA from 10 species
GAUGGUGGCUUUGGACUAGGGAGUGAAGCUGGGAAAAGGAUGGAUUUGGGUUGCUUUUUUUUUAUGGUAGAGCAAUUAAGACUUGCUGGGAGAUUAGAUAGGUGAUUCCACGCUUACCAAACAACCUUCCAGCUGUAAUUUGUCUUCUUAGUAGGUUUUUCUUCUUAGAGAAGGAAGCACUCGUCAGGGAACAUAGGGAUCUGAUAUUUCUACUGGUUCCAGUUUUCUUCCCUGAGAAUGUGUACCUGAGUCUAAGAGGGUUGGGUCUCUCUCUCUCCGAGCACCUACACAUUUGAAACACUCUGAGCUGGUCCCAGCCACGUUAGACAUGUGGGCUGAGAAGUGGAGGAAGAUGAUCUGAGCUACAGAGAAGGAGAAAGCAGACCACAGCUCAAGCAGAGAAGGGAGCUAGAGAAAAGUGCUGGGCACAUUUGAGUGCUCACUCCAGCUGUCAAGACCCAGUGGAAUUUCUCACUGUAGGUUUCACAGACACUUUCCUAAGUCUUAUACUCCAAACCACACUGGGAAUGAAAUAAAGAUUCUUAUUCAAUGUAUCUAUUUUGUCGUGUUACUUUUAUUUUAAAAUAUACUAUUAAUUAAAAUACAUAUGUUAUUAAAAUUCAGAACAAAAAUUCCUAUCUUAUGGAAUUUGGGCCAAUAUCUAGAAAUCAAAUGUCAGGAGGAUAAAAAGAUUGAUGACCAAAUAAAUUGCCCAGAGAGAAAUCAGGCACAGUGAAUACAUUCCCAAGUAGUCCUGCCUCUCACCACAUCAAUCGGAGAAUUAGGCCAGAUCAAAUCAACAUUGCUGUAUGGAAAAAUACAGUCUCAUCCUGAGAGGCCUGCAACUGCAGAAUGUCAUGGUGCCUCCCUCUUUGCCCUUUGAGAUGUCAGUGAAUAAAGAACCAGAAUUUUCCCAGUCUGUUUUAGGAGAAGGCCACAAGUGUUCUAGGACAAUAACCUGCUAGAUCCCACAGCCAACCUUAAUAGUCACUUUUGAAAAGUCCUGGAAAUACAACAAUUCAGCGAUCUCUAUGUCAUUUACCAUAGCUAUACUGGAAUGAGAUGUACCGAUCCCAAGAUUCACUACUGUUAAAACCUGACAGACUGCAUCAGAGUUAAUACAUUCAUUCCCUUAGCUUAUGUAGUCAUGGUAUUUUUCCCAAUAACAGAGCUGCUGAAAGCCAUCUUUAUUAUGGUCUUUGUUAAACUUUGUUGACUAAAAAGACAACAGGAACUCUGUAUACCUGAAUAACAGAAACUCAAAUGACUCACUGAAAAUGAACAGUUACUCAUGGCAGAAAUAGGUAUAUGUAGAGGAGAAACUUGCUUCAGUAAGUUACUGGAAUCUUCCAGAGGGUAAUGCAUUUUAUAUGCAUCUUUAAAAAACGUAUUAAAAAUGGGGCCGGGUGUGGUGGCUCACACAUGUAAUCCCAGCACUUUGGGAGGCCGAGGCAGGUGGAUCACGAGGUCAGGAGAUCGAGACCAUCCUGGCUAACACAGUGAAACCCUGUCUCUACUAAAAAUAUCAAAAAUUAGCCGGGCAUGGUGGGGGGCGCCUGUAGUCCCAGCUACUAGGGAGGCUGAGGCAGGAGAAUGGCGGGAAUCCGGGAGGCAGAGCUUGCAGCGAGCCGAGAUUGCGCCACUGCACUCCAGCCUGGGUGACAGAACGAGACUCCAUCUAAAUAUUGAUAAAUAUUUAUAUUUGCAAGUUAGGAUUAGACAGGAGUGACAAAACCAAUCCCGCGGACAAUAAGACCUAUGAGUAUAAUAAUUUUGGUCUGCCUGCAAAGACCUUUCCUACUUUCCAUUCCUGGAAAACUCAUAUUUGUUCUUCAACAUCAAGCAAAUGUUACCUCUUCUAUCAAAUCAUCCCUAACUUCCAGGUAGAUAUGGUAUUCUACAUGUAUAGUACUUGAUCGAUUCCUUUACUAUUGUACUAAAACAACUUUAUUUGUUUACAUGCCUCUUCCCCCUACUAGACUAUGAUGCCCAGAGAGAGCAGGAAUUAUUAUUUAUUCAAUAUAUAUUUAUUGAGUGCUUACUAUGUGCCAGGACAUUUUG